GACGAACGCUGGCGGCGUGCUUAACACAUGCCAGUCGAACGGAAAGGCCCUGCUUGCAGGGUGCUCGAGUGGCGAACGGGUGAGUAACACGUGGGUGAUCUGCCCCUUACUUUGGGAUAAGCCUGGGAAACUGGGUCUAAUACUGGAUAGGACCAUGCUGUAGGUGGUGUGGUGGAAAGAUUAGUUUCGGUAAGGGAUGAGCUCGCGGCCUAUCAGCUUGUUGGUGGGGUAAUGGCCUACCAAGGCGUCGACGGGUAGCCGGCCUGAGAGGGUGGACGGCCACAUUGGGACUGAGAGACGGCCCAGACUCCUACGGGAGGCAGCAGUGGGGAAUAUUGCACAAUGGGCGCAAGCCUGAUGCAGCGACGCCGCGUGGGGGAUGACGGCCUUCGGGUUGUAAACUCCUUUCAGCCAUGACGAAGCCCUUGUGGUGACGGUAGUGGUAGAAGAAGCACCGGCUAACUACGUG
rnacentral:rRNA from 1 species